rnacentral:rRNA from 1 species
UAUCUCUGUAGAGUCUGCAUAUCAAUAAGCGGAGGAAAAGAAACUAACUAGGAUUCCCUCAGUAACGGCGAGUGAAGCGGGAAGAGCUCAAAUUUGAAAUCUUCAAGGUUCUACCUUGACGAAUUGUAGUUUAAAGAAGUGUUUUCUGUUGGUAGUUUUGGUAAAAGUUCUUUGGAAUAGGACAUCAUAGAGGGUGAGAAUCCCGUAUUUGACCAUUACUUUCCAGCGUUGUGAUACACUUUCAAAGAGUCGGAUUGUUUGGGAAUGCAGUCCAAAAUGGGUGGUAAAUUUCAUCUAAAGCUAAAUAUUGGCGAGAGACCGAUAGCGAACAAGUACCGUGAGGGAAAGAUGAAAAGAACUUUGAAAAGAGAGUUAAACAGUACGUGAAAUUGUCAAAAGGGAAGCGUUUGACACCAGUGUUGUUUUCUCGAAAAUCAAUUAAAAAAGGCAGGAUUUUGUGUUGUAUUGACUUUAUCAGCUUUCUGCACUCUUUUCUUGUCUUUUUUAAUGCACUUUUCGUUUAACAAGUCAACAUCAAUUUCUUUUGUUGUAAAAGGGUCAUUGGAAGGUGGCUUUCUUUUCGGAGAAAGUGUUUAUAGCCUUUGGCCUCUGCAAUCGGAGAGAUUGAGGUCUGCAGCGUAGAUCCUUCGGGGUUAGAUACAUUUGUGCUAAGUUAUAGCCUUUCAUAGACAACUUGUUGACUAUGAUCAGUCAUGUAGCUUACUCGCUUAUGCUAUUUUACCUACGCUUAGGAUGUUGACGAUCAGCUGAGCGCG